UUCUUGAAGAGCGAGCUUGGCCCAGUUGGGCAGGGCUCAGUGUAAAGUCUCCAUUCUCCACUAGAUGGCGCUACUAGCCUACUAGGGUGGAGUGCUGUGUUGCUUAUAGGUGUGUACGCGCAUGCGCAGGAGCGGUGAAAUUGGCGUUACCCAGCUACCCAGUCUCUAGUAUCGGAACCCUGUUCUCCCUGAUCAACAAUCGCGCACCCGUCCUCGGUCUUCAGCUUUCGGCCAUUCCCCGCUUUUCCACUGUCUGUGACCAAGCCCCAGGCAGUACCUCUCUCCAGAGUUUUGUCUCAGAUGCGGCUGUUUUCCCCGCCCCUUGUUUCAGAAGGACUGCGUCUUUGACCCGUUCUGCCCCUCUGUGGGAGGGUCUCACCGACUGAUGGCCGAAGGAGCAAUGGCUGAAUGUCGGCUGCACCCAGGAACGCCCGCUGGACCCUGCUGCUGCUGGUGCCCCGAGACUGCGGCCAGGUGCCAGCCCGCCCCAGAAAAAAUUUACAAGAUGGUGUAGCAGCAGCGUUUCAGGGAUUAUGGAAAAUCACCACACACAUCUGGCACCAGGCUUCACCCUUAACGACCUUGUUCCAGCACCAGCGAAUGUGGCUGUUUUCUGGGGUCUGCUGGGCCCAGGUGGCCUCACAAUCUCUACCAAAUGUCCUUCCAGCAGUGGAACCGCUUUUCCCCGUGUGGCCUGAGAACCUCCCGGACCCCACUCUGCUCCUGUGGAUUCGCCCUUCCCACCAGAGCACCGCCAGGUACUUUUCUUCUCUUCCUGAAGAGAAAUAUCUAGAAGAAGUGAUUGACCAUCUUUGCAAAUGUGCCUUGGACCAGCCAUGGGUGUCUGAGAUGUAUCCUACUCAAUAAGAACUUUUGGGGAAACCACCAGAGCAUUCAUUCAGAGAUCAUUGUUUUGCUAUCUCUGCAUCAGGGCAUCAUAAGCAUUUGGAAUGAUUCCUCCUGACCAGAAUACACAGAUGGCAUGUUUGGCUCUUUGACAAUGGCAGAAUCUGGGGACUGACACAGAAGGCUAUUCCCUGAAGCAAAAUGGAUUGAUCCAGAUGCAGAAAGCAAAACAGAUCAUCGUGAUGGAGACAUGGGGUAAGCAUAGAAACAGAUGCAAGUUUCUUUUACUUUGUCUGAAAGAAACACAAAAUGGAAUUCUUAGAGGAGCAUCCCCUGGAAACCACAACUGAAAUCUCUACAUCCACUUCAAAAGACUCACGCUAACUAUGAACUGUUGAAGUAGAAUUGUGUCGGAUGUGUGUGUGUGUGUGUGUGUGUGUGUGUGCACAUAUAUGUAUAUCUUCAUGUAGUUUGUUGAGUGACUAGUGAUCAAACAUGUGUAAGUACCUGUUAAACUUGUGCAAGUAAACAUACAUACAUGCACAUCUCAUAAAGUUACACAUAUGCAGAGACAAGAGGCCAAUGUCUAUGAAGCCUUCUCUGGAAAACCCCAUUCUAUGUCUAAACAUUAGACCCAUCUCUUCCUUCCCUGUGUCUACAUCCAAGCACUUCCUGUACUUUCUUUGGAUACUUUGACUUUGGUUAUUUGUGCUUCUGACCCCCCUCGAUCAACACUUUAUCUCCUGCUCAUGGCUUAUGUCACCCCAACUGUUAUCUCAGUCAAUUGGAUCUAACCGACAGCACCUGACCUCUGGCUGACUUCAGGACCCCAAUGAGUUCCAAGCUGAUGCCCCCCCACCCAUCUUACAUUGUCUGGUUCAACCCAGCCAGGCAAAACACACUCACACACCACA